CUCUCUCUCUCUCUCUCUCUCUCUCUCUCUCUCGCUCUCUCUCUCUCUCUCUUUCUCUCAAGAUAUCUAUUCACACACAUAGGUGUAUAUAUAUUCCUCAUGUCUGUCUAUCUUGAAGCUAGCUUUGCAUAUUAAGUUGGGGGAUUCUCUCUCUCUCUCAAAAAAGAUAAUAUAACAUAUGGCUUCCCAAGGCAGCCUUAGUACUAACGUUUCCAAGACUCCGAAAAGUGGCAGAUCAGGUGGAGAAGGCGCCGUCGACGUGGCAUCAACAAGUUCACCGAAAGGAGGCCAAUGCCUGUGUUCACCAACGACGCACCAAGGGUCGUUCCGUUGCAGGUUUCAUCGGUCAUCGGCUAAAAUGAUGAAGCGAUCAAUCUCCAUGCCUGCCGAUACCUCUGCAGCCGCUGCCCUCUCUCCCAACUCUGUCGGGUCUACGUAAUGCAUGCUAGCUGAUCUACAUAUGCUUUCAAACCAAUUGUCUUAUAUAUAUCGCUCCUUCAAACUCCAUCUAGAACUCAAGUUCUGAUAUAUAUUUGGGAUUCUGUCUGCUUGUGAUUCAUUUAUGUGCAGCUCUUCAAAAGUCACACAUAAACACACACAGCAUGUUGUUGGAUGAUCUAUAAUAUUAUUGUUGUUUGGUAAA